GAUUAAGUUAUUAAGGGCGCACGGUGGAUGCCUUGGCACUAGAAGCCGAUGAAGGACGUUACUAACGACGAUAUGCUUUGGGGAGCUGUAAGUAAGCUUUGAUCCAGAGAUUUCCGAAUGGGGAAACCCAGCAUGAGUUAUGUCAUGUUAUCGAUAUGUGAAUACAUAGCAUAUCAGAAGGCACACCCGGAGAACUGAAACAUCUUAGUACCCGGAGGAAGAGAAAGAAAAUUCGAUUCCCUUAGUAGCGGCGAGCGAAACGGGAAGAGCCCAAACCAACAAGCUUGCUUGUUGGGGUUGUAGGACACUCUAUACGGAGUUACAAAGGACGACAUUAGACGAAUCAUCUGGAAAGAUGAAUCAAAGAAGGUAAUAAUCCUGUAGUCGAAAAUGUUGUCUCUCUUGAGUGGAUCCUGAGUACGACGGAGCACGUGAAAUUCCGUCGGAAUCUGGGAGGACCAUCUCCUAAGGCUAAAUACUCUCUAGUGACCGAUAGUGAACCAGUACCGUGAGGGAAAGGUGAAAAGCACCCCGGAAGGGGAGUGAAAUAGAACCUGAAACCGUGUGCUUACAAGUAGUCAGAGCCCGUUAAUGGGUGAUGGCGUGCCUUUUGUAGAAUGAACCGGCGAGUUACGAUUUGAUGCAAGGUUAAGCAGUAAAUGUGGAGCCGUAGCGAAAGCGAGUCUGAAUAGGGCGUUUAGUAUUUGGUCGUAGACCCGAAACCAGGUGAUCUACCCUUGGUCAGGUUGAAGUUCAGGUAACACUGAAUGGAGGACCGAACCGACUUACGUUGAAAAGUGAGCGGAUGAACUGAGGGUAGCGGAGAAAUUCCAAUCGAACCUGGAGAUAGCUGGUUCUCUCCGAAAUAGCUUUAGGGCUAGCCUCAAGUGAUGAUUAUUGGAGGUAGAGCACUGUUUGGACGAGGGGCCCCUCUCGGGUUACCGAAUUCAGACAAACUCCGAAUGCCAAUUAAUUUAACUUGGGAGUCAGAACAUGGGUGAUAAGGUCCGUGUUCGAAAGGGAAACAGCCCAGACCACCAGCUAAGGUCCCAAAAUAUAUGUUAAGUGGAAAAGGAUGUGGCGUUGCCCAGACAACUAGGAUGUUGGCUUAGAAGCAGCCAUCAUUUAAAGAGUGCGUAAUAGCUCACUAGUCGAGUGACACUGCGCCGAAAAUGUACCGGGGCUAAACAUAUUACCGAAGCUGUGGAUUGUCCUUUGGACAAUGGUAGGAGAGCGUUCUAAGGGCGUUGAAGCAUGAUCGUAAGGACAUGUGGAGCGCUUAGAAGUGAGAAUGCCGGUGUGAGUAGCGAAAGACGGGUGAGAAUCCCGUCCACCGAUUGACUAAGGUUUCCAGAGGAAGGCUCGUCCGCUCUGGGUUAGUCGGGUCCUAAGCUGAGGCCGACAGGCGUAGGCGAUGGAUAACAGGUUGAUAUUCCUGUACCACCUAUAAUCGUUUUAAUCGAUGGGGGGACGCAGUAGGAUAGGCGAAGCGUGCGAUUGGAUUGCACGUCUAAGCAGUAAGGCUGAGUAUUAGGCAAAUCCGGUACUCGUUAAGGCUGAGCUGUGAUGGGGAGAAGACAUUGAGUCUUCGAGUCGUUGAUUUCACACUGCCGAGAAAAGCCUCUAGAUAGAAAAUAGGUGCCCGUACCGCAAACCGACACAGGUAGUCAAGAUGAGAAUUCUAAGGUGAGCGAGCGAACUCUCGUUAAGGAACUCGGCAAAAUGACCCCGUAACUUCGGGAGAAGGGGUGCUCUUUAGGGUUAACGCCCAGAAGAGCCGCAGUGAAUAGGCCCAAGCGACUGUUUAUCAAAAACACAGGUCUCUGCUAAACCGUAAGGUGAUGUAUAGGGGCUGACGCCUGCCCGGUGCUGGAAGGUUAAGAGGAGUGGUUAGCUUCUGCGAAGCUACGAAUCGAAGCCCCAGUAAACGGCGGCCGUAACUAUAACGGUCCUAAGGUAGCGAAAUUCCUUGUCGGGUAAGUUCCGACCCGCACGAAAGGCGUAACGAUUUG
rnacentral:rRNA from 1 species